rnacentral:rRNA from 1 species
UAGAGUUUUNAUCCUGGCUCAGGAUGAACGCUGGCGGCGUGCCUAAUACAUGCAAGUCGAGCGAACGGAUAAGGAGCUUGCUCCUUUGAAGUUAGCGGCGGACGGGUGAGUAACACGUGGGUAACCUACCUAUAAGACUGGAAUAACUUCGGGAAACCGGAGCUAAUGCCGGAUAACAUUUGGAACCGCAUGGUUCUAAAGUAAAAGAUGGUUUUGCUAUCACUUAUAGAUGGACCCGCGCCGUAUUAGCUAGUUGGUAAGGUAACGGCUUACCAAGGCAACGAUACGUAGCCGACCUGAGAGGGUGAUCGGCCACACUGGAACUGAGACACGGUCCAGACUCCUACGGGAGGCAGCAGUAGGGAAUCUUCCGCAAUGGACGAAAGUCUGACGGAGCAACGCCGCGUGAGUGAUGAAGGUUUUCGGAUCGUAAAACUCUGUUAUUAGGGAAGAACAAAUGUGUAAGUAACUGUGCACAUNCUUGACGGUACCUANCAGAAAGCCACGGCUAANNACG